UACAGGGGGGGCAAGCGUUGUUCGGAAUUACUGGGCGUAAAGGGCGCGUAGGCGGCCUGUUAAGUCGGACGUGAAAUCCCUCGGCUCAACCGGGGAACUGCGUCCGAUACUGGCGGGCUUGAAUGCAGGAGAGGAACGCGGAAUUCCAGGUGUAGCGGUGAAAUGCGUAGAUAUCUGGAGGAACACUGGUGGCGAAGGCGGCGUUCUGGACUGCAACUGACACUGAGAAACGAAAGCCAGGGUAGCAAACGGG
rnacentral:rRNA from 1 species